rnacentral:rRNA from 1 species
GACGAACGCUGGCGGCGUGCUUAACACAUGCAAGUCGAGCGGAGCGGCGAACGGGUGCGUAACGCGUGAGUAACUGCCCCACUCUCUGGGAUAACAGUUGGAAACGGCUGCUAAUACCGGAUAGUGGGGGAUGACUCGCGUCCUAUAAGGUUGUUGGUUGGGUAGUGGCCUAACAAGGCGACGACGGGUCGCAGGCCUUAGAGGGCGACCGGCCACAUGGGGAUGAGAGACGGCCCAAACUCCUACGGGAGGCAGCAGUGGGGAAUAUUGCACAAUGGGGGAAACCCUGAUGCAGCAACGCGCGUGCGGGAUGACGGCCUUCGGGUUGUAAACCGCUUUCAGCCAUGACGCGGUAGUGGCAGAAGAAGCACCGGCUAACUACGUGCCAGCAGCCGCGGUAAUAC